rnacentral:lncRNA from 1 species
GGAUGAGUGAUUUAGAAGUGUAAAUUUCCUUUCUACAGGUUUUGGGUAAUCCAUUUUAGGGGAAGUUCUGCCAAAUUUAUUGGAAGAAUUUCUUCUAAGGUGGGCCCCGCAGGGUCAGUUUUAAUUUCAGGGUGAAAUCUGGGACGGGUCCUGUCAUCUCGAGUGGUACUGAACAACGUAACCACCCCACCUGCACGAGAUCAAUUCGCCUCGACGUGCGCAACUUAAUCUGCCUCCUCAACCAGUCGCUGCUAAUCAACAACCAAGCCAACCAGCCACCGCUUCUACAAUCUGUGAUCCUCCUUCCGCAUGAGAAGCAACCCCAGAAAGGAGAAGCACCGCGCCUGGUCAAACUAACGCCUGACACGGUCAGGCAAAGCGCCGCUGUCUGCUCGAAACCCUAGAGCUGGGCGAAGAGCCGCG